GCGCGCGCAGGCGGUUUCUUAAGUCUGAUGUGAAAGCCCACGGCUCAACCGUGGAGGGUCAUUGGAAACUGGGGAACUUGAGUGCAGAAGAGAAAAGCGGAAUUCCACGUGUAGCGGUGAAAUGCGUAGAGAUGUGGAGGAACACCAGUGGCGAAGGCGGCUUUUUGGUCUGUAACUGACGCUGAGGCGCGAAAGCGUGGGGAGCAAACAGGAUUAGAUACCCUGGUAGUCCACGCCGUAAACGAUGAGUGCUAAGUGUUAGAGGGUUUCCGCCCUUUAGUGCUG
rnacentral:rRNA from 1 species